rnacentral:rRNA from 1 species
UCCUACGGGGCGCAGCAGUGGGGAAUAUUGCACAAUGGGGGAAACCCUGAUGCAGCAACGCCGCGUGAGUGAAGAAGGUUUUCGGAUUGUAAAGCUCUGUUAGCAGGGAAGAGGAAGGACGGUACCUGCAGAGGAAGCCACGGCUAACUACGUGCCAGCAGCCGCGGUAAUACGGAGGAUGCGAGCGUUAUCCGGAUUUAUUGGGUUUAAAGGGUGCGUAGGCGGACUGUUAAGUCAGCGGUAAAAGCCCGGGGCUCAACCCCGGCGAGCCGUUGAAACUGGCUGUCUUGAGAUGUCGAGAGGUA